AUUGAACGCUGGCGGCAGGCUUAACACAUGCAAGUCGAGCGAGCGGCGGACGGGUGAGUAAUGUAUGGGAAACUGCCUGAUAGAGGGGGAUCACUACUGGAAACGGUAGCUAAUACCGCAUACCAUCCGAUGUACCCAGAUGGGAUUAGCUAGUAGGUGGGGUAAAGGCUCACCUAGGCGACGAUCCCUAGCUGGUCUGAGAGGAUGACCAGCCACACUGGAACUGAGACACGGUCCAGACUCCUACGGGAGGCAGCAGUGGGGAAUAUUGCACAAUGGGCGCAAGCCUGAUGCAGCCAUGCCGCGUGUGUGAAGAAGGCCUUCGGGUUGUAAAGCACUUUCAGCGAGGAGGCGUUACUCGCAGAAGAAGCACCGGCUAACUCCGUGCCAGCCGCCGCGGUAAUAC
rnacentral:rRNA from 1 species